GGUAACAUAAUGGAAGUACAUUACUAAUAUGGGCAAAAAAACAAAGUAAAAGUACAUUGCUAAUAUUCAUAUAUAAACAUAUAAUACCAAUGGCUAAGUAGUUUUCAAAAUAAGAGAAACAAUCCAAAAGUUUCAAGAUGUUACUAAGAUAAACAACCAAAAAUAUACAGUUACAACAAUUAACAUAAUUAUGUUCAAAUUAUAUUGUUUAAAUCGGUUCCCAUGCAAAUAAAUUACUUAGAGACAUAACAGACCAGGAAAACAUACUUACUGGAUAACUAACAGCAAAAAUAUGAGUUUUUUAGGAGAUAACCAUGAGAGAUAAGUAAAAGUUGUAGUUGUCAAUUAUAUUAUCUAAAUAGAGCAUUCAUGUUAUUGAAUGAAUCAAAGCACAAUCAAAUUUCACAAACAUCCAGAUCCAAUAAAGAAGAAAUACUUUUCGCGGAUAAUAUAAAACAGAAAGAGUAAAGUUAACAAAACCGGAAUGAUUCCAUCUCUAGGUUAUAACCCGUGUGUUACACGGUUGACAAAGUAAAACGACAUUAAAACUUUAAAAAAACAUAACCAUUCAUAGAUUUACAAACAUUUUUUUUAUACAAAAUUAAGUGUUUUGUUUGAAAAAUGUAUAUUUGUUAAUUUAAAAUGAUAUUAGUAACUUUUUAACAUAAGUAUUUUGUCAUUUUUUUUUGUUAAUUUAAAAUGAUAUUAUUAAGCCCUUUUUUGCAUUUUUUUUUUUUGAAUUCAAAACUAAUUCUACGCAAUAAAGAUAUUCACUAAAAAAUGCAAAAGUAACUUAUGAGGUUUUCACAUUUAUUCAUAUUUACAUUGUGUUAUUAGAAACUACUAAAUAAAAGAUAUCACUAAAAAAAGCAUAAUAAGUUUCUUUAAUAAAAGUGUAUAAUUUACAAGAAAAUGUUUAUUUAGAAAUCAGUUAGACAUAAAUAGUUCUGAUCAUCUUUUUCAUAUGGUUAAUUUGCAAUUUUCUUCUUAUGAUUGAUACUAACCUGAAAAAGGAUGAAUGUUGUAUUAAGAGGUCAUUAUAUUGGUCUAAGUGUUGUUGGCAAGGGCAAAAUGGUCCAACUGUUACCCAGGUUGAUAUAAUGUUGUCAAUGAUACCUUUUUUAAGAUGUGGUUGCUUGAAACAUUCAAUCAAAUACCUAAUCUGCAUCAAAAACAAUAAGAAAUAUGUGGUUAAAAACCAAAGAUUUAUAGCAAAAAUAAAAAUAAAAAUCAUUCCCUGUAAUAUCAAACAUGUCUACACAUUAAUACACACGUACUUUGUCAAAUAUUUGUAUUCAUCUCGUAGCAACAAUCUGAAUGCACAUUAACACCAUUAUGAAAAUUCAAUCAACAGGUCCUAUUUAUUGUAGAUUAACAACUUUAUUAAAUAUAUCCUUAAUAGCUAUCAUUUUAUAUUAUAAGAUGUCCAACACUUUUGUAAUAACCAAAUAAGAUUCACUCUUUGUAAUACAUCUACCACUAUUAUCAAUCUGCAAUCUGCAUACGUAUGGAACUCAUGUUUGUUUUCUUUUUUAAUAUAACUUUUAUAAAAGAGGGCAAUUCUAAUUAGGUAAAAUGAAGCAACUUCGAACUAACUUCAAACAACGCAUGCAAUGAAUUACCCAAAUACCCAAUUGAAAAUCAAAGCAAUACAAUUCCAAAAAAAACACUCCGAUAAAGUAAAAUCAACAACAAAAUUACAGAAUCUGUUAAUUUUAUAAAAGCAAUUAGAAUUAGGUCAAAACACCCAUAAAAUAUAUCAAAAUGCACCUGAUUUUUCGCAUCCCUCAGCAAUUGCAACUGAAGAGCAUGAAAAUCAUCUGAAAUGGGAGGAAAAAAUUACAAAAAAUACAAAGAGCAUACUCCAUAUGUUUUUCAGCCAAUAUCCAUACACUCACUCAAAAUAACAAAAACCUCUAAGUAUCAACACAUAAAUUAAAGAUUGGGGUUUCUUUGACAUUUGUUGUAGAUGCGAGAAGAGUCCGUUGUGAGUGAAGGAAAGGGAAAAACCGGCGAUACAUGAUGAUAUCACAAAUGUAAAUUGGUCACGUACCUUACUUGAUUACCUUUCGCCGCCUUCCAUGUCCGAUAUUUGAUGGUGGUGGCGAGAAGAUAUCUGCCUGAAGUUCUCCAAUCUGAAAUAACUUCAUCCCUUAAUCUUAUAUUACGAUUUAAUCUAAAACAAAGGAAACGGAAAAAUCAAGAAUGGGUAAAUUCACCUCAAUCAUGAAUAUGCUCAAAACCAAUUUCGUCUUAAGUGUGUAUGUAUCUGUGAGAGCUCCGACCUUCACACAACCGCCGAUCGAUUUAACUAAUUUUCAAUGGAUUCAUCUGAAUCGAGAUUUUAUGUAAGACAAUGUAAGCUUGAUAAUAAAAAUAAUGAUGGAAAAGGAAUGAUAUACAGAAGAAAUAAAAAAAAAUGAUAUAUAGAUCUUAUGUCUCCGAUUUAAGGACAUGUUGAAGAAAAAGUGACGAUCUAACUAAAAUUGGGGAAGGAGAGUGAGUAUGAAUAAUUGAUAUUGAAGAACAGAGAAAAAAGUAACCUACGAAAUUCAUUUGGAAAUACAACCAGGUUCCUAAAUUAAAGGCAUUUGAGAUGAUCGGGUCAAUUAGAAAUCUGCGAGAUCUAAG
rnacentral:lncRNA from 1 species